rnacentral:rRNA from 1 species
AAACUUUCAACAACGGAUCUCUUGGUUCUGGCAUCGAUGAAGAACGCAGCGAAAUGCGAUAAGUAAUGUGAAUUGCAGAAUUCAGUGAAUCAUCGAAUCUUUGAACGCACAUUGCGCCCCUUGGUAUUCC